UGCUAGAGCCAGGGCUAGACUCCUCAUGCCAUGUCUGCCAAAGUUUUCUCAAACCUUUCCAUCAGUUCAUGGAAGAAUUUGAUACUAGAUGUUUUCCUUUAACCGGGGAAGUGACUCAACCCUCUGUAUGAUUCCCUUAAAGAACACAAGAGCCAAAUUCAAAUGACUGUGCUUGGAACUCCAGUUCACUCUCUACUUGGUCUGCAGACUUAAAGGUACCCAAGGAUGAAAGCCUCGCCACUGACACUGUUAAAGUCAUGUAAAGUCUUACUCGGACUUCAUGAAAGGUGGUCAGCAUUUUGGAAGGAGAAGCAAGACAGACAGCUAAUCACCAGACCCACUGGUAGCUCAGAAUGUGCCCUAAGGACUCAUAGAACCAACAGUGCACUGGAGGCCCUGACCUGUUGCUGAGGGAGGGCCACAGCCAAGGAACAUGUUGCCCAUUGAUCAACAAGUACCUACAAUGUGAUCAUCUAUACUUGACCUUGUGGGAAACAGACAGAAAGUAAAAAGCAUAACUGAUAUCUUGGCAUAAUUCAUAGAGUAACUGAAAUAUUAAGACAUAAAUACUUGAAAUAAGAACACUAACUCAGUAAGAGCCCUCUCCAAGAUUUAGAGUGAAAGGAUUGGUUUAAAAAUCUUUUGGAGGAGGUAGAAUGUAAACUGUGUGGCAGGUUAAGUAGGACUUGCAUUGGUGCUAAGCAGAGGGCAGGGGAUUGAGCUGUGUUUCCUAUCACACUUAACACUUCUCCCCUAAUGCAUGCGUG